GACAGAGGUGCCAAGCGUUAGGCGGAAUCACUGGGCUUAAAGCGUGUGUAGGCGGAUGUCUAAGUACCUUGUGAAAUCCCACGGCUCAACCGUGGAACUGCUUGGUAUACUGGAUGUCUUGAGCCAUCUAGGGGCUACCGGAACAAAUGGUGGAGCGGUGAAAUGCGUAGAUAUCAGGAGGAAUACCGGUGGUGUAGACGGCUCUCUGGACCGCAACUGACGCUGAGACACGAAAGCGUGGGUAGCAAACAGG
rnacentral:rRNA from 1 species